CAAUAGCGUAUAUUAAAGUUGUUGCGGUAAAAAAGCUCGUAGUUGGAUUUCUGUUGAGAGCGACCGGUCCAUACCGUGUAUGCGUAUCUGGCUUGCUCUCGGCAUCCUCUCGAUAGACGUUGCUGCGCUUGAUUGCGUGGCGCGGAUCUCGGGACUUUUACUUUGAGGAAAUUAGAGUGUUCACGGCAGGCUUUCGCCAGAAUACAUUAGCAUGGAAUAAUACUAUAGGAUCUUGGUUCUAUUUUGUUGGUUUCUAGAAUUGAGAUAAUGAUUAAUAGGGACAAUUGGGGGCAUUCGUAUCAACACGUCAGAGGUGGAAUUCUUGGAUUGUGUUGCGACGAACUACUGCGAAAGCAUUUGCCAAGGAUGUUUUCAUUGA
rnacentral:rRNA from 1 species